rnacentral:rRNA from 1 species
UACGUAGGGUGCAAGCGUUGUCCGGAAUUAUUGGGCGUAAAGAGCUCGUAGGCGGUUUGUCGCGUCUGCCGUGAAAACUCGGGGCUUAACCCCGGGCCUGCAGUGGGUACGGGCAGACUAGAGUGCGGUAGGGGAGACUGGAAUUCCUGGUGUAGCGGUGAAAUGCGCAGAUAUCAGGAGGAACACCGAUGGCGAAGGCAGCUCGCUGGGACGUGACUGACGCUGAGACGCGAAAGCGUGGGGAGCAAACAGG